CUUCCAUCCUUUCCCCGCAAGAUUGGUCGUCGGAGCCCUCUCUCCGGUCCGGCCACCCCACCGUAACUUCCUAAUUUGCAGCACCGCCCAACUACUAAACGCUUAGCUAAGCAACUACACAAAAUCCCCUUUCCGUCCGAGUAAGCGACGCGCCCUCCAAGUCCUUGCUCGCUGGGAGCCUCUCCCGUUCGAAAUCGAUCUAGGGUUUCGCCCGCCUGCCCGCCGGCCAUGGACCUUCCGGCCGGCGCCGGCGACGGCGACGGGAGGGAGCCUGGGAGGGCCGGCUUCGAGCGCGCCUGCCGCCUGCCCAACACCGUCCACUCCGAGAUCGCCGCCGCUCUGCCGCUCCCCACCCUCCCCGCUACGCUCGGCACGGACCUCCACGACCACGACGAGCCCCUCGCCGAGCCCGACCGCCCCGACAUGAUCAUGCAGGCGGCUGCCAUCGCCCGCAUACUCGCCAGCACCGACAUCUCCCACCUGGGCUUCACGGAAGCCGAUCACGUCGCGGUGGAUCCCAGCGAGUGCUCCUUGCUCUGGAGGGAGGUGCUCAAGCACAACCCCGACGCCUUCAAGUUCAAGCCCCGCACUCCCCAACCUCCUCCUUCGCAAGGUCUGCUUGAUGGUCAGGAAUAUCAUAAUCGAGAACGCGAGAAGCAAUUCGAGGAUCUUGCACCUAAUCUGACUAAAGCACGGAAGGAUCAUCCAUUUCCUCCAGAUGACACCAGCUCACACCGAGAGGAUCUUCAUAAUGAACUCUCACCAGAUUCAGUUGCUUCAAGGAAACCGAAAGUGAGGAAGAAAGAUAAUUCUGCUUCAAGUUCUGGCCCCAGCAUUCCUAGUAGUCAAGAAGUCAUUGCCAACUUCCGUGAGCUGGUGGAGGACUUCUGUGGAAAAGCAGAAAUCCCUGAUAAUGCAGAUGGUGAUGAUUGGCUAUCAAUUGCACUGAAUGAUGUGAAGGUUCUUGUAAAUGAAAUUACAUAUGUUCGAUCAAAGGGGAUGUUGCAUGAGAUUCCCAUGGAUACGCUUACUUGUCUCUUACAUGUGAUAGACCGGCAGAUCCGGUGUUCUCAAGGAUUGUCAGUAGACGUGAAAGAAAAUCCUGAUGCUGCAGAUGCUGAACACUCAGUCUUCUCUGCUUUGGAGUCCAUUCAUGCGGCAUUAGCAAUCAUGACCAACCCUGAUAUGCCAAAGCAGCUGUAUCGAGAAGAGCUUAUUGAGCGAAUUAUUGAUUUCUCAAGACAUCAGAUAAUGGAUUGUAUGGCUGCAAGUAACCCAACCUUCCGAGCUCUCUACAAGCCAGCUGGAAAUGUCACUAAUGAUGGAGAUGAAGAUGAAGACGACAUGGAAAAUGGACCAGCUAGCAAAAAGAGGCGCACUGCUUCUAAUUUAAGUGCGAGGAAAUCUUCUGCUAACAAAGUUUCUGCUUCUAUAUAUUCUGCUGUGCAGAAACUAUGCUUGAUAUUGGGCUUUCUUAAAGAACUCCUCACAACGGUGCGCUUAUCAGAUAGUUGUAUCCUGCAGUUAGCAAAAACCUGCUUUACUACAUUCUUGGUGGACAAUAUGCAGCUUUUACAAUUGAAGGCGAUCGGUGUUAUUUGCAUGGUUUUUUCAUCAUACACACAACACAGGAGUUACUUGGUUGAUGAAACACUUAAUCUUGUCCGCAAGUUACAGUUCUCAAAAAAUGCUAUUAGAACUUACCAUCUGGCUGACGAAGAACAAAAGCAAAUCCAGAUGAUAACAGCCCUCCUAGUUCACUUGGUUCAGUUCAGUGCAAAUGUUCCUGAUAGCUUAAAGGGAACAGUAAAUUGGAGCACUAUCAUUGAUGCCUCAGUCGAUGCUAAUUAUCCAAUUAACUGCCAUGAAGCAGCAACGGAGGCUUGUUGCCUUUUCUGGACCAAUGUGCUUCAACGUUUCACUGCUGCUAAAUCUCAAGAUGUGCCAGAAGCCAAAGGGAUUAUAGAAAAUCUUGUUCAGGACUUGCUAACAGUACUAAACUUGCCCGAGUAUCCAGCUGCUGCCCCUAUACUUGAGGUUCUCUGUGUGUUGCUGCUUCAAAAUGCUGGAUUGAAAUCAAAGGACACUUCUGCUCGCUGCUUUGCUAUUGAUCUUCUUGGUGGUAUUGCAUCAAGAUUGAAGCGUGAUUCUGUCAUCUGUAGCAAGGAGAAGCUUUGGAUACUGCAAGAGCUCACUGAUGCAGAGAAUGAUAGCUCAAAAAUCUUGAAAAAUAAAUGUUGUGUUUGUCUUGGUGGAAGAGGUAUAAAUAUGGCAUGUGAUGUAUGUGGGAGAUGUUUCCAUCCAGAUUGUAUGGGGGCUGGCAGUCAGGAAAACUUACAGCGUGAUUCUGUUUGCCCCUUAUGCUUUUGCAAGCAACAGCUCAGUGUGCUACAGUCAUACUAUGAGCUAGAAAAUAAAGAAAAGGGCAAAAGAGCAUCUACCGCACAUAAGAAAAAAACUGCUAUACCUGAUGAGGUGACAGCAGUGGAUACUGUUCAACAAAUACUUUUGAAUUAUCUCCAGGAAGCUGGGCCACAAGAUGAUGGGAACCUGUUUUCUAGAUGGUUCUAUCUCUGCAUGUGGUACAAAGAAGACAUAUCUUCUCAGGAGAAGAUUAUCUACUAUCUUGCCAGAUUGAAAUCUAAGGAGAUUCUGCGAGAUUCUGGAAGUGGCUUGGCAUUAUCCAGAGACUGGGCUAAGAAAAUUUGCUUGGCACUUGGCCAGAAGAACUCGUUCUCUCGGGGUUUCGACAAAAUUCUUUCCCUCCUUUUGGCUAGCUUGAGGGAAAAUUCUCCUGUGAUAAGAGCAAAGGCCUUAAGAGCGGUCAGCAGUAUAGUUGAAGCCGAUCCUGAGGUAUUAGGUGACAAACGUGUCCAAUCUGCUGUUGAAGGAAGGUUUUGUGAUUCAGCUAUUUCUGUUCGUGAAGCUGCACUUGAGCUUGUUGGAAGACAUAUUGCUUCACACCCUGAUGUGGGUCUUAAGUAUAUUGAAAAAGUCGCUGAACGAAUAAAGGACACUGGAGUAAGUGUUCGCAAACGUGCGAUCAAAAUUAUCCGUGAUCUUUGUGCUUCAAAUCCGAAUGCGGAUACAAGUCAUGCCUUUGUGGAGAUUAUUUCGCGUGUUAAUGACGAGGAAUCAAGUGUACAGGAUCUUGUAUGCAAAACAUUUUAUGAGCUGUGGUUCGAUGAACCAUCUGGGAGUCAUAAACACUUGGUUGCUGAUGGUAGUUCAGUUCCUAUGGAGAUCGCAACAAAGACAGAGCAAAUUGUUGACAUGUUGAGAAAGAUGCCCAAUCAUCAACCCCUUAUUACCAUUAUAAAACGCAGUUUGACUCUCGAGUUCCUCCCGCAGUCAAGUAAGGCUGCAGGCAUUAACUCAUCCAUGAUGACAUCGCUCCGGAAACGAUGUGAAUUGAUAUGCAGGCGCUUAUUGGAAAGGAUAUUGCAGGUUGAGGAGGGAGCUGAUAAUGAGACCAAAAUCCACACGCUUCCUUAUGUUCUUGUCUUGCAAGCAUUUUGUAUCGUGGAUCCCACCCUCUGCACUCCAGUUACCGAUCCCUCUCAGUUUGUUGUGACACUUCAACCAUAUCUUAAGAAUAAGGUCGACAGUAAAUCAACUGCCCAGUUACUUGAAAGUAUAAUUUUUGUGAUUGAUGCUGUUAUUCCACUCAUACGGAAGCCACCACAAACUGUGGUUGAGGAACUCGAGCAGGACCUGAAGCAGAUGAUAGUUCGCCACUCUUUUUUGACUGUUGUACAUGCCUGUAUCAAGUGUCUUUCUGCCCUUAGCAAUGCAGCAGGCAGAGGUCCGAGGUUGUUGGAGUACCUCGUUAACCUUUUCUACAAGCAUCUGUCAGGUCCUAAUUCGGAUGGUCAGGUGUUGGGUCGAUCAUUAUUCUGUCUCGGCCUGCUCCUUAGAUAUGGUUAUAAACUGUUGGCAGCAUCGGAAAACCAACUUGAUUUUCCAAAGAUUCUUGAAUUGCUCAAGAGAAGGUAUCUCCGCAGGGAUGAUUUCAGCUUGAAGGUUCGAGCUAUGCAGGCUUUGGGAUACAUACUUAUUGCAAAGCCUGAUUUUAUGCUACAGAAAGAUAUUUUGAAUCUGAUAGAGGCAUCGCUAUCUUCUGAUGUCGAUUAUAGGUUAAAGAUUCAAGGAUUGCAAAACCUUUAUGAGUAUCUCCGUGAUGCGGAAAGCCAACUCACGGCUGACAGUACUGGCAAGCCUACUGUACCCUAUGCAACUAAUGGUGGGAGUGAAGUGCCUGUUGCUGCUGGAGCGGGAGACACCAACAUCUGUGGUGGUAUUAUCCAGUUGUAUUGGAAUUCUAUUCUUGAGAGAUCCUUGGAUAUGAACGAUCAAGUUCGCCAUGCUGCACUAAAGAUUGUUGAAAUUGUUCUUCGCCAGGGUUUAGUUCAUCCAAUUACUUGUGUUCCACACCUUAUAGCACUUGAAACUGACCCUGUGGAGGGGAACUCAAAGUUGGCUCAUCAUUUGCUGAUGAACAUGAAUGAAAAGUAUCCUUCAUUUUUUGAAAGCCGCUUAGGUGAUGGCCUACAAAUGUCGUUCAGAUUCUUCGAGACCAUAGUCAGCAACCAUAACGUGGUGGCAACCAACAUGAAAUCAAAUCCGAUUGCAUUUGUUAAACCUGGCAUAUCCAGAAUAUAUCGUCUUAUCCGUGCAAAUCGAAAUUCAAGAAACAAAUUUGUACACUCAAUAGUCCGCAAAUUUAUAUCUGACAGCCGGAGUUACCCCACAAUUGGUUUUCUUGUUUACUGUGUAGAAGUUCUUGCAUCUCUCCCUUUCACAUCUCCUGAUGAACCACUUUACUUGGUCUAUGAUAUAAACCGAGUUAUUCAAAUUAGAGCCGGAGCAAUCGAGGCUAAUUUGAAGAAUUGGACUUCCAUGGAUCAGCAGCAAGAUGUGGUGGGUCAGCAAGAUGUGGUGGGUCAGCAAGAUAUUGUGGGUCAGCAAGAUGUGGUGGGUCAGCAAUAUAUGGUGGAUAAUGUUAUGCAUGAACCUGGGGGAUAUCCUGACCAAAAUCUGGCAGAUAGUCCUCAAAAGAUGCUUAAUAAUUCAUGCAGCACGUCAGAUGUCGACAUGGCCAAACUUCAGGAAGAUUGCCAUGAUGCGAUAGCUCUGCAGCUCCUUCUCAAACUGAAGAGACAUUUGAAAAUGGUCUACAGUUUAACUGAUGCUCGCUGUCAGGCAUUUUCUCUGAAGGAUCCACCAAAACCUGGUGAAGCAAUCUCCAAGCAGAAUAUCCCGCUUAACAUUAACAACACUAACAUCAGUUUGCCGAGCUGCCUGCAGGAUGUAGCACUCGUGUACCAGGAUUUCAAGACAUUGCUGCGAGAAGAUUCCAUGGACUACGUACUGUAUACUUCUGCCACGGUCCAGAAGAAGCGUCUGACUCCAAGAAGUUCGUCGAAAGUUAGAAGGCCAGUGGCUGUUACAAGAGGACGUGGUGGUGGUCGUGGUCGUGGUGGUCGUGGCGGCGGUGAUGAUGAUGAUGACACUGAUGAUGAUGACUGGACUGGCGGGCCGAGGGUGCUAGAGUUCGGCGCUCAGGCAGUGACUGGUGGCCGAGUAACGAGACAAAGGGUCCAAGUAUGACUGGUGAUUGGUGCUCUGUACAUUGUAGGGAAGUUUAUAGGUGACUGACACGCAGGGGACAUAGGUCAUCGUUUAGGGCUCAUACCAUCACUGAUACCAUCACUAUUCGGUAGUGGUAGUCGAGAUUCUAGUAUAUAGAAGCAGAAAGGGAAGGGAGAUAGCUUUACCUACUUAGAGCCAUUAACUUGGAGAACUCCUUUUCUUGCUGUGCCCAUUUUAUUGUAUUUUUGUAUUUUUGUGCUGGGCUUUUGCAAAACUUCAAACAGGUUGUGCUCCAUGUCUAAUUCAAUGGAAAAAGAUAGAUAGAAAGGAUCUCAUUUGCUUUCCGGGUUGGUCAUUGUACCAAUAAUGUGUACUACUCCC
rnacentral:rRNA from 1 species